rnacentral:rRNA from 1 species
UACGUAGGGCGCGAGCGUUGUCCGGAAUUAUUGGGCGUAAAGAGCUCGUAGGCGGCCUGUCGCGUCCGCUGUGAAAACCCGGGGCUCAACCCCGGGCUUGCAGUGGAUACGGGCAGGCUAGAGGCAGGCAGGGGAGAACGGAAUUCCCGGUAUAGCGGUGAAAUGCGCAGAUAUCGGGAGGAACACCGGUGGCGAAGGCGGUUCUCUGGGCCUGUACUGACGCUGAGGAGCGAAAGCGUGGGGAGCGAACAGG